GGGGCGGUAUCUCAGCAGGGUAGAGUUAGGGGAUACCCUAGACAUUGGUUCGAAUCCAAUCCGCGCUG
rnacentral:tRNA from 1 species